GGGGAAUUUUCCGCAAUGGGCGAAAGCCUGACGGAGCAAUACCGCGUGAGGGAGGAAGGCUCUUGGGUUGUAAACCUCUUUUCUCAGGGAAGAAAAAAAUGACGGUACCUGAGGAAUAAGCAUCGGCUAACUCCGUGCCAGCAGCCGCGGUAAUACGGAGGAUGCAAGCGUUAUCCGGAAUGAUUGGGCGUAAAGCGUCCGCAGGUGGCUGUGUAAGUCUGCUGUUAAAGAGCAAAGCUUAACUUUGUAAGAGCAGUGGAAACUACACGGCUAGAGUGCGUUCGGGGCAGAGGGAAUUCCUGGUGUAGCGGUGAAAUGCGUAGAGAUCAGGAAGAACACCGGUGGCGAAGGCGCUCUGCUAGGCCGCAACUGACACUGAGGGACGAAAGCUAGGGGAGCGAAUGGGAUUAGAUACCCCAGUAGUCCUAGCCGUAAACGAUGGAUACUAGGCGUUGCGAGUAUCGACCCUCGCAGUGCCGGAGCCAACGCGUUAAGUAUCCCGCCUGGGGAGUACGCACGCAAGUGUGAAACUCAAAGGAAUUGACGGGGGCCCGCACAAGCGGUGGAGUAUGUGGUUUAAUUCGAUGCAACGCGAAGAACCUUACCAAGACUUGACAUGUCGCGAAUCUUCUUGAAAGGGAAGAGUGCCUUCGGGAGCGCGAACACAGGUGGUGCAUGGCUGUCGUCAGCUCGUGUCGUGAGAUGUUGGGUUAAGUCCCGCAACGAGCGCAACCCUCGUUUUUAGUUGCCAGCAUUAAGUUGGGCACUCUAGAGAGACUGCCGGUGACAAACCGGAGGAAGGUGGGGAUGACGUCAAGUCAGCAUGCCCCUUACGUCUUGGGCUACACACGUACUACAAUGCGCCGAACAGAGGGCAGCAAGCUAGUGAUAGCAAGCAAAUCCCGGAAAUCGGCGCUCAGUUCAGAUCGAAGCUUGCAACUCAGCUUCGUGAAGGAGGAAUCGCUAGUAAUUGCAGGUCAGCAUACUGCAGUGAAUUCGUUCCCGGGCCUUGUACACACCGCCCGUCACACCAUGGAAGCUGGCAACGCCCGAAGUCAUUACUCCAACCUUUAGGGGAGGAGGAUGCCUAAGGCAGUGCUGGUGACUGGGGUGAAGUCGUAACAAGGUAGCCGUACCGGAAGGUGUGGCUGGAUCACCUCCUUUUUAGGGAGACCUAUACCCCUCAAGUAUCGAAAGCCAGUGUGCAAAUAGAUCACGAGAUGGUCAAACCUAGGUCGGUCGCAAGAAAAAUUGUCAGGCUUUCAAACUAUGAUUGGUUCGUAUUGGGGCUAUUAGCUCAGGUGGUUAGAGCGCACCCCUGAUAAGGGUGAGGUCCCUGGUUCGAGUCCAGGAUGGCCCACCUGAAGAAAGUGUGAAGUGUAAAGUAUGAAGUCUGAAAUAAUUAAUCAAAAAUUUCAGAAUUCACAAUUCAAACUUCAGACUUUGAUGAUGGGGGUUUAGCUCAGUUGGUAGAGCGCCUGCUUUGCAAGCAGGAUGUCAGCGGUUCGAGUCCGCUAACCUCCACCUGAAAAAAGAGAAAGGAAAAAACUCAGCAACGAGGCGAAAGCUAGACUGCUGGGAUGAAUACCAGCCAGAACCUUGAAAACUGCAUAGAAAAGCGAGAAAAGUAGGCAGUCAUGAGUCGGAGGUCAGAAGUCAUGGGUUUUUAGCCAUGGCAAAUGAACAAAGACUUGUGAACAAAAGCAGACACCAAAUGUUUAGUGGUCAAGCGAAUAAGAGCUAAUGGUGGAUACCUAGGCACACAGAG
rnacentral:misc_RNA from 1 species